rnacentral:misc_RNA from 1 species
AAGUCGUAACAAGGUUUCCGUAGGUGAACCUGCGGAAGGAUCAUUAACACGUAUCCACGUUAUCAACCCAAGCGAAAUGUAUGUUCUCGACACUGCCUCGUGGUUCACUCCAGCGAGUGUCACUGUGUGUAAAAGCACUUUGACUAUAUUAUUAACUAUACUAACCCCUCCUUACACUAGUUGUCUAUUUAUCUGUUGUUCUAUGCGGUUGGGUGUGUUUAAUUACGCGCUCCGUCACACUGGGCAUCACGUUUAUUUACUUGAACGUUAAAAUACAACUCUUAGCAAUGGAUAUCUUGGUUCUC